UGCUGAACGCGCAACAGCUGAUUCCCGUGAUCAUCGCCAUUUUGAAACGUGUUGUAGAACAGCAAAUUAAUUGCAAUUCGACGCGGAACAUUUAUGCAGCACAGUAGCAAAAAUAUAAAACCUUCAGAGAAGUUUCACUGUUCACAUUUUGGUGUCUUUGAUAUGGGACUGAAAAAGAAGUUUGGCAUCAUUGGUACAAUAUUCGUUGUACUUACCGUCUUCAUUUUUAAGGUGAUGUAAUUUUGAUGCAGAAUUGAACCUGAAAGCUUGAUAAAAUGUGAUCGCCACGGGAGAAAGCUCAAUCUGUGGGUUGGUUCAUACUGAUGACAUCCAAUACCCAGUAUGCAAGCCAGCUUGGCCACAAUUACUUCAUUGUGGGAACUCACCGUAUGCCAAUAAUGGUAUUUCCACAUUCAAAGAACCCAAAAUGUUUAACUUAUGGAAUAAACAUUAAUGUAUGUCUUUGUUAUAUCAUGUAAUCACAGUUCAAACAUUAAAAUUGCUUUUUCUUGAGUUCCA